CCAUAGCGUAUAUUAAAGUUGUUGCAGUUAAAAAGCUCGUAGUUGGAUUUCUGGUGGGAGCGAUCGGUCUGGCGCUUAGCGCGAGUACUUGCAUCGUCUCCGGCCAUCCUUGGGGAGAGUCUGUCUGGCAUUAGGUUGUCGGGCAGAGGAUCCUCAUCGUUUACUGUGAAAAAAUUAGAGUGUUCAAAGCAGGCUUAUGCCGUUGAAUAUAUUAGCAUGGAAUAAUAAGAUAGGACUUUGGUACUAUUUUGUUGGUUUGCGCACCAAAGUAAUGAUUAAUAGGGACAGUUGGGGGUAUUCGUAUUCCGUUGUCAGAGGUGAAAUUCUUGGAUUUACGGAAGACGAACUACUGCGAAAGCAUUUACCAAGGAUGUUUUCAUUAA
rnacentral:rRNA from 1 species